GGUUAAGCGACCAAGCGUACACGGUGGAUGCCCUGGCAGUCAGAGGCGAUGAAGGACGUGCUAAUCUGCGAUAAGCGCCGGUAAGGUGAUAUGAACCGUUAUAACCGGCGAUUUCCGAAUGGGGAAACCCAGUGUGAUUCGUCACACUAUCAUUAACUGAAUCCAUAGGUUAAUGAGGCGAACCGGGGGAACUGAAACAUCUAAGUACCCCGAGGAAAAGAAAUCAACCGAGAUUCCCCCAGUAGCGGCGAGCGAACGGGGAGGAGCCCAGAGCCUGAAUCAGCAUGUGUGUUAGUGGAAGCGUCUGGAAAGGCGCGCGAUACAGGGUGACAGCCCCGUACACAAAAGCGCAUAUGCUGUGAGCUCGAUGAGUAGGGCGGGACACGUGGUAUCCUGUCUGAAUAUGGGGGGACCAUCCUCCAAGGCUAAAUACUCCUGACUGACCGAUAGUGAACCAGUACCGUGAGGGAAAGGCGAAAAGAACCCCGGCGAGGGGAGUGAAACAGAACCUGAAACCGUGUACGUACAAGCAGUGGGAGC
rnacentral:rRNA from 1 species